GUCAGAGCGUACUCUCCCAUCUUCAAAACCAAGACCAGUGCUGCCCUGCUGGAUAUGCUUGUGCAGGAGGGUCCUUCCAGCCCAAAGCAAGUGCCGGCCAUGGUGAGGUACAUCCACCAGUGGCUGGUGGCCAAUGAGUUUCCUGAGUACAAUCUGUACAGGCCCCUUCUGGAUCUGACAGAGGCACAGCCCUGUGACGUGGUGAUGGCUCUCCUGCGUGUGGCCCCAGUGUGUGACAGAGCUGCUUUGGCCAUGUGGAAGAGCAUCAUGUGCUCGCCCAGGACUGCAGAGCCGGCCAUGCUCGCACUCCUCGAGGUGCUGGGGAGCUGGCCAGAGCACAGCACGUGCACCUCCGAUGGGGACCACACGGCUGUCCUUGCCCUGGCUGUGAGUUUCUGCCUUUGCUGGCCCCAAGGCCACCCCUCCAGCAGCUCUCCAUCCUCCCUCCCCCACGGCG
rnacentral:lncRNA from 1 species